UACGGAGGGUGCAAGCGUUGUCCGGAAUCACUGGGCGUAAAGGCGCGUAGGCGGCCAUUCAAGUCGGGGGUGAAAGCCUGUGGCUCAACCACAGAAUUGCCUUCGAUACUGUUUGGCUUGAGUAUGGUAGAGGUCAGUGGAACUGCGAGUGUAGAGGUGAAAUUCGUAGAUAUUCGCAAGAACACCAGUGGCGAAGGCGGCUGACUGGACCAUUACUGACGCUGAGGUGCGAAAGCGUGGGGAGCAAACGG
rnacentral:rRNA from 1 species